rnacentral:rRNA from 1 species
AGUCUGCAACUCGACUACAUGAAGCUGGAAUCGCUAGUAAUCGCGGAUCNGAAUGCCGCGGUGAAUACGUUCCCGGGUCUUGUACACACCGCCCGUCACACCAUGGGAGUCGGGAAUGCCCGAAGCCAGUGACCCAAGCGAGAGCAGGGAGCUGUCGAAGGCAGGCCGGAUAACUGGGGUGAAGUCGUAACAAGGUAUC